CUGCGUCCGGGAGGCGGUUCCCCGUACGUGGCCGGGCAGCCAGGCGCUGCCACAGUCCCAGGGACUGAGCAGGAAACAUACAGCCCUCAUUGCUGUUGGCAGACAUUUGGCUCUACUCUAGAAGGCAGCCUGAGGGCGAAAUUGAUAACUGGGAAGAGGCAGAGCCCAGGCAGCUGCAGAGGAAUGAAGCUGGAGUCCUGAUCAAGGAUCAGAGACAAGUACUAUUAAAGAAGAGUGGAUAAAUGAUAUGGCAGAUAGUAUUGGAAAAAUUCAAGACUUUGAGCAGUGUUAGAGGAAAAAGAGGAUCAUCUGGUGUCUCAUCUCCAUCAAGUGCAUUAUCUGUAUAUAGCAGUUUUUCUCUAGGAAGGAUGGCGGUACCAAGUGGAUGGGAAGAUGUGUUUUCAAGAUCCGUGGAGGAGACAAUCAUAUAAAUCCAGAAUGUGGGACGUUCUAUAAGACAGCUGGCCUGAAUGCUUCAUAAAGGUGUCAGGAGAGACAAACAGACCAAAGAAACAGAAGAGAAAAUCCAGAAACAGACUCAUAUACCUAGUGUUUUAGCUGGUCCUGGAACAUGGCUGAAGAAUAUCUUCAUGGUCCCAGGAACUUGCUGACCAGCACAAAUAGCCUCAUUGCCACCUUCCACAUCUCAUGCAACUAUAUCUAACUGGUGGAAUGGCAUUCUCAUUCAAACUCCCUGCUAUAAGAUACCCUGGGAAAUGUGUGGCUUUUAUCUUUCCAACAUCUCCAACCAGAAAUAGAAUGAAAUUGAAGUUCAAUGAGCAUUAUAUGUAGAAAGGUAUCAUUUGGCAAGAUACAUAAACUUUCUGUCUUUUGUCCAAAAAAUAGGGAGAAUAAUACUUACUUUUCAUGUUAUUGUACAGUUUACAAGAAACAGAGAAACUUAUGCACGAUGAUUAAAGAACUCUCAUUUUGUGUGCAGAAGAGUUAUCCUAGGAUAUAUGCCUAGGAGUGGAACUGCUGGGUUGUAAAUUAUGUAUAUCAUAAACUUUAACAGAUGAUUCCCAAUUAUUUUCCAGUGUUUGUCUAAGUACAAAUUGGUACUGCCCAUGGGUGCUGGUCCUGGGCUGGCUUCUCGCAGGUCCUGCCCAAUUGCCUCACUCUACCACUUGUGAUCUGAGGCAGCAGACAGGGAGUAUAGCUCUUUUAGUCACCAGGUGGCAAGAGCAAUCACUGGGAACCAGGCCGUGUGAACCUGUGUUAAAACAUGGCUGGGCCCAUUUGAUUUACAAUUAUGAAAUAUUUAGACAUUUGAUAUAGGAGCCUCCAUUUGUACUGUUACCCAAGACCCUGAAACAUUAAAGGUAGAUGGGGGUCCAGGCAAAGAGACACACAGUGACAGGUAGAUGUCCAGCCCUUCUUAUGAACUCUGAAAUGCAACACACUGGGUGAUUAAUUUCUCUCUGGUAUGCAGAGUGCAAGCUUGAUGUACACAAGUUGCCAAGUCCCAGAGUUAAAUCUGGAAUAUUCACGUGGAGCUGGAGGCACAAUCUGGGUGGUCACUGUGCUGGUACUUCAGACAUCUGCAUCUGCUCGGCCAUCCGGAGACACAUCUGUUUCUGUUCUCAUCUCAUCUGUUUGAAAUUGUUAAGUCUUCAUGGACUUACACACAGAUUCUAGGAACCAGCUGGUGACAUGAAACACGUUGGACCAUACUUUUAGCACCUUUCUCUAGCACUAUGAAAUGCUUUUAGUGUACAUAACUUCUUAAUGUUUAAAUCACAGUUUCAUCUAGUCAGGGUUACUGCAUCCCAUUUCAUAGCUUUGUCUACCCAGGGAUGAGAAAAAUGCCUUUGGUUGGUUUGUUUUUAAGAAAUCUACAUAAUGUGAAAAUUAUAAACACAAUGGAAGGAUGGGGGUGGGAAGGGCUAGAGGGCCUUAGCUGACCACCCAGGGACUCAAAUUUAAAUGCCUUAGGGGCCAGGAGUGAGCUGGGAGGUGGAUCCAGGGUAAGACAUAGACAAGGAUGAGGAUCACAGUGAUCUGGAGAGUGUCUGCCUCACCUAAAUGUAUUAAAAUCUAGUGUUUGCAACUUUUAGUAAACCUUUUAUAGAACUACAACUUACAGACCAAUAAGCAUACAGCCCAACAGAUUUUCCAAGUGAACUCAUCUGUGUAACUGACAUGCAGAUCAAGAGAUGAACAUUACUGGCAGCCUAGGAAGCCCCCAGGACCCCCUUGAGUCACGCCCUCCUGCCUGUUGCCCUCACCCCCAAAGCACAGCCACUAAUCUGAAUUCUUACACCAUGGACUAGUUAUUCUUGGUUUUGAAUUAUAGAUAGACAGGUAUAGAUGACACAUUUUAUAUUUGGCUUCUUUGACUCAGUUUAUAUUUGGGGUGCUUUUCUAUGUUGU